AUUGAACGCUGGCGGCAGGCCUAACACAUGCAAGUCGAGCGGAUGAAGGGAGCUUGCUCCUGGAUUCAGCGGCGGACGGGUGAGUAAUGCCUAGGAAUCUGCCUGGUAGUGGGGGAUAACGUCCGGAAACGGGCGCUAAUACCGCAUACGUCCUGAGGGAGAAAGUGGGGGAUCUUCGGACCUCACGCUAUCAGAUGAGCCUAGGUCGGAUUAGCUAGUUGGUGAGGUAAAGGCCUACCAAGGCGACGAUCCGUAACUGGUCUGAGAGGAUGAUCAGUCACACUGGAACUGAGACACGGUCCAGACUCCUACGGGAGGCAGCAGUAGGGAAUCUUGGACAAUGGGCGAAAGCCUGAUGCAGCCAUGCCGCGUGUGUGAAGAAGGUCUUCGGAUUGUAAAGCUCUUUAAGUUGGGAGGAAGAGAAGUAAGUUAAUACCUUGCUGUUUUGACGUUACCAACAGAAAAAGCACCGGCUAACUUCGUG
rnacentral:rRNA from 1 species